rnacentral:rRNA from 1 species
AAUAUUGGACAAUGGGCGAAAGCCUGAUCCAGCCAUGCCGCGUGUGUGAAGAAGGUCUUCGGAUUGUAAAGCACGUUAAGUUGGGAGGAAGGGCAGUAAGUUAAUACCUUGCUGUUUUGACGUUACCGACAGAAUAAGCACCGGCCAACUUCGUGCCAGCAGCCCCGUUAAUACGAAGGGGGCAAGCGUUAAUCGGAAUUACUGGGCGGAAAGCGGGCGUAGGUGGUUUGUUAAGUUGAAAGAGAAAGCCCCGGGCUCAACCUGGGAACUGCUUUCAAAACUGACGAGCUAGAGUACGGUAGAGGGUAGUGGAAUUUCCUGUGUAGCGGUGAAAUGCGUAGAUAUAGGAAGGAACAUCAGUGGCGAAGGCGACUACCUGGACUGAUACUGACACUGAGGUGCGAAAGCGUGGGGAGCAAACAGG